GAUUAACGCUGGCGGCGUGCAUAACACAUGCAAGUCGAACGAUGAAACUUAAAUGAUUUCUUCGGAAUGAACUUAAGUGGAUUAGUGGCGGACGGGUGAGUAACGCGUGAGUAACCUGCCUUACACAAGGGGAUAGCCGUUGGAAACGACGAAUAAUACCCUAUGAAACUAUCACUUCGCAUGAAGCGAUAGUCAAAGUGUUAGCGGUGUAAGAUGGACUUGCGUCUGAUUAGCUAGUUGGUGAGAAAAAAGCCCACCAAGGCAACGAUCAGUAGCCGGCGUGAGAGAGUGUACGGCCACAUUGGGACUGAGACACGGCCCAGACUCCUACGGGAGGCAGCAGUGGGGAAUUUUGCACAAUGGGGGAAACCCUGAUGCAGCGACGCCGCGUGAUUUAGAAGGCCUUCGGGUUGUAAAAAUCUUUUGUAUAGGAAGAAAAUGACAGUACUAUACGAAUAAGGGCCGGCUAAUUACGUG
rnacentral:rRNA from 1 species